rnacentral:lncRNA from 10 species
GUGUAAAGUGGAGCCGUCUUUUCUGCACAGAGUGUGCACUAUCAUCGUAACAGCAGAGACGGAGAGCAAGAUGUGAGGAGGUUAAAAGUCAGGGUCAGAAGUUCAGGUUGCUCUGACCCUCAAAUCAAUUUCAAGCACUGUUUGUGACAUUUUCCUGUGUUCCCUCGCUUGAUGUUAGUCUUUGCAAUGAACCACCGAAUCAGACUUCAGGGCUCAUGGGACUUUGGGGUUUCAGUAGGGUCAGGUCAAUUUCUACCUACCAGUGUACUGUCACCUAUGAGGCAAACCAUUAUCUAGGCGUUUGAGAACCUCAAAGUUUUGAAGCUCUGAGGGGAAAGAGAGAGGAUGAAGCGCUGGGGCCCCUGUGUCUUUGGGGCCUGACAUAGCUCAACCUGUGGCUUCAGGGGGACCGUGUGCAGCCAGGUCACAGUGGUACCGGAAAGGGAUCCUGAUCCAGACCCCAAGAGAGGGUUCUUGGAUCUCGUGCAAGAAAAAAUUCAGGCUGAUGGCACUAAGGCUGAACCCAGAAGCUGCAGCAGUGGACGGAUGAUGAUCUGAAGAAAUGAGAUCCCUGAUGGGCUUGGAAGUCAUGGUUCCUGUAACCAUGAUGUCACACCCUCGUCCUGACACCGAGAUGGGCUGGACACAUCUGUCACCCAGGGCAAACAAAAUGCUUGGUCUGCAUCUUUCAGAAGAAAACUAAAAAUCAAGUAAUUUCUUAGAAGUUUGCUUGCGUGUGGCUUAAGUCUUCUUCUCCUGUUGAGGAAGGUGUUGAGUUUGACCAUGACAGCCCCACCCAGUCCUUGGCUCAUCUCACCCAUCAAAGAGGAUCUGGAGAUUCAGAGCUAUGCCGUGGAAGACCUUGUCAGAGCACCAGGCCAUACUGUGCUGCAGGUGGGGUUCAGGUGCCCAGUGACAACCACCGGGGCCGCUCAUCCCUAAACGUCUGUUGAACUUAAAGUUCUACUCAAGACUUUCUACAUUAAAUACCCUUUCAUACAGCAAAAUCAGCCAUGUUCUGAGAUGUGAAACUGCAGCACAAAGUUACUGUGGUCUCCACCUAUAGAAAUGGAAUGUUACUUCAUAAAGCCCCAGGCCAAAAAAGAAACCCCAAAACUCUGAAACGACACCCUUAAAUUUAACCUGAACAUCUGGCCAGCCUCCUCCAUCAUUGAAACUUCUCCUGAGUGUUGGCAUGGAUCCUAUGUUUCUCCAGCCAGGGAGCUUUGCUCCCCAUUCUUGAUGGACCCACUGAGUCCCAAUUUUCUACAUUUUACUUGGGUCAUUCCACCACUUUGGGAUGCUUUUCCUACUCUGUUGUACUUUAAAAAUGUUUCUUCUUUCCUAUUCUCAGCUUCACGCAUUUGUCUUCUUUCUCAAUUCAACUUGCUUAGUUCUCGCUACAUCAAUUCCUAGAGCCAUCCAUCUGCACUUCUGAAUCAUUUAAGUUUUGUUUGGCUACAAGUAAUGGAAACCCACUCUGAGUAACUCAAGCAAGAACUGGAAUUUAUUGGAAGGACAGUGGGAUAUAUCAUAAGAUCCAAAAAGAAUUGAACAAAUAAAAUUUCAGAGGGAAGAAAAAGGGCAGCUCCAGUGACUUCAGCAACAAGACAACAUAAGUCUUUCUAGAGCAUAGCUACUAAUAUUAUUCAGCUGCAAGAGCCCCUCCCCAUGAGAAACUUGAUUGAAAAUUCUGAUUUCCCACAGAGAAGAAUCUGAUCGACUCAGUUUAGCUUUGGUUGCCCAACUGCUCAAUCUUGCAUGAAUUAUUUCCAGCCAAGGGGACAAGGUGUAUUAUAGGGACACACCUGCUUUCUCCAAAGAAAAGAUCUGGGCAUUUCCUGAUCAUUUCCCUGAGAAGGAGGAAUCAUUGUGAGCCAAGAAGAUACCUCAAGUAUAAUGAGCUCAGUUACACUUUUUUGAUAUCUGAGUAUUUGGUAUGUAGUGUGCAUUUUAAAAAACAUGUCUCUCUCCAGGACAAUGUUAACCUCUUCCACGGUGGAGUGGGGCUAUGUGAUUUUGUGCUUAAUUUACCUAGCUGGUGGGCCUCCAGUAGAGGCUGUAGUCGAGCCAGCUGAUACCACAUCAGUUCUCCAAAGGUAAGUUUCUCUUGGCUAAUAUUCCUUCUCUCAACUUAAUAAACACCCACUAUACACCAAGAUACAUUGAAAAUUUAAAGGUAAAUUAGAUAUGAUCACUUUUCUUAAGACAUAAAAUCUAGUAGAUUUCCUAUAUAAUGAAUAUUUUUUAAUUUUUAUUUUUAGAGACAAGUUCUCAGUCUAUCACCCAGGCUGGAAUACAGUGGCAAAAUCAUAGCUCACUCACUGCAACCUCAACUCCCGAGCUCAAACAAUCCUCCUGUCCCUGCCUUCCAAGUAGUUAUGACCACAGACACAUGUCACCACGCCCAGUUAAUUUUAAACAAUUUUUUUUUUUUUUUUUUUUUUUGUAGAGACAGGGUCUCACAUGUUUCCCAGGCAGGUCUUGAUCUCCUGGCCUUAAGCAAUGCUUCUGCCUUGGCUUCCCAAAGUGCUAGGAUUACAAGUGUGAGCCCUUCACCCAACCUAUAUGAAUAAUAUUUUAAGGAUAUUUUAAUAAAAAAAUACUUUCAAAAAAUUAUCAUUAGACCCAUUUUGAAGGUUCUCAGAAGCUGGGCAGUUUCUGCUUGAGUUAUCAAGUGGGCUCCACUUUAGGCAAGCUUUUGGAGACUCACUGUAAAGUACAGGACUCUAAGUGACCACAUCUCUCAAAUACAGUGUUUUUUAUUAUCUCCUGACAUUUGGAGCUUAAGGAAAUAUACAAUGACAUGAUUUUUUUCCCUCUAACAAUCCAAGACAACAUUGGAAGACCACACACGUCUCCACUUUAUUGACAUUUUGCAUUGUGCUUGCAGGUGCUAUCUUUAGAGGUGUGAUGUUGCUCUUGUACUAUGUAUAUAAAUGCUUUCUAUGACUCAGGAAUUCUAUUGCAUUUACAUGAAACUUGUUAGAGUAGAAAGAGACUGGAGUAAGCUAGACUUGGGUUUCAGUCUUUUCAACUUUACAGCUUACUAGCCUCAUGACUUUGGCCAAGUUACUUUCUGAGACUUGGUUUCUUUAUCAGCAAAGUGGAAUAAUGAUAAUACAUAUUUUACACAUAUGUGUAAUAAUAUAAUAUUACACAUAUGUGUAAUAAUAAUAAUACAUAUUUCCCAUAACAUUGUUAUGGGAAAUAAGUAUGAUAAUAUAUGUAAAAGGGGCCAGGCACGGUGGCUCACAUCUGUAAUCCCAGCACUUUGGGAGGCCAAGGCAGAUGGAUCCCAUGAGGUCAGGAUUUCGAGACCAGCCUGGCCAACAUGGUGAAACCCCGUCUCUACUAAAAAUACAAAAAUUAGUCGUGAGUGGUAGCACGCUUCUGUAGUCCCAGCUAUGUUGGAGGCUGAGGCACAAAAAUCACUUGAACUUGGGAUGUAGAAGUUGCAGUGAGCCGAGAUCAUGCCAUGGCACUCCAGCCCAGGCAAUGAAGAGAGACCCUGUCUAAAAAAAUUAUAUCAUAUAUUUUAUAUAUAUA